AGAGUUUGAUCCUGGCUCAGGAUGAACGCUGGCGGCGUGCCUAAUACAUGCAAGUCGAACGGAGCAGCAAUGCUUAGUGGCGACCGGGUGCGUAACACGUAGCUGACCUGCCCCUCAGCGGGGGACAACUGUUGGAAACGACAGCUAAUACCGCAUGAUCUUGGCAACCCCAAACGUUGCUAAGUAAACUUUCGGGGCUG
rnacentral:rRNA from 1 species